GACGAACGCUGGCGGCGUGCUUAACACAUGCAAGUCGUACGGUAAGGCCCUUUCGGGGGUCCACGAGUGGCGAACGGGUGAGUAACACGUGAGUAACCUGCCCACAACUUUGGGAUAACGCUAGGAAACUGGUGCUAAUAUUGGAUAUGUGCUCCUGCUGCAUGGUGGGGGUUGGAAAGCUCCGGCGGUUGUGGAUGGACUCGCGGCCUAUCAGCUUGUUGGUGGGGUAGUGGCCUACCAAGGCGGCGACGGGUAGCCGGCCGGAGAGGGUGACCGGCCACAUUGGGACUGAGAUACGGCCCAGACUCCUACGGGAGGCAGCAGUGGGGAAUAUUGCACAAUGGGCGCAAGCCUGAUGCAGCAACGCCGCGUGCGGGAUGACGGCCUUCGGGUUGUAAACCGCUUUCAGCAGGGACGAAGCUUUUUGUGACGGUACCUGCAGAAGAAGCACCGGCUAACUACGUG
rnacentral:rRNA from 1 species